GCAGUCCAUGGGGUCACAGAGAGUCGGACACGACUGAGCGACUGAACUGAGCUGAAUCCUGACCAGCAGCGCUCCUUUCUCUGCCUUAUUUUAGCCACAGCAUUUCCUACCGCCAGAAAUAUGAUCUCUGUUACUUUUCGCUUUUCCCUCAGCCUCUGCAAGCUCUCUUAGGGAAGGGACUUUGUUUUGUCCUUGUUGUCAUGCAUUGCUAUGUUUCCAGAACCUAGAAAAAUGCCUGGCACACAGUAGCCACUCAAAUACUGGUUGAAUGAAAAAAAUGAAUGAAUGUAUCCUUGGUAGCAGGAUACAUUGGUAGACUCUAUAGAAAAAUCGAUUUAGCAAUGUUAAUGUUUAACAUGCAUUAACCUUUUGAACCUGCAAUUCCAGAGCUAGGAAUUUAUCCUGUUGAUGACAUACUCAUGCCUGUGUCUAAAGCCGUAAGUGCAAGGAUGCUUCCUGCAACCGUUUGCCGUAGGAAAAGGCUAGAAGCCGUCAAACUGUGAACACUGAGGGAACUCGUUAAGCAAAUUGUGAUGAUCCUCUGCAGCGGAGUUCUAUGCAGAAGUGGAAGAGAAUGAUGUAGCUCUGCGUGGGCUGAUACGCAGCAACCUGAGACACCUCCGAAAGUGAAAUAAAGCGGAGUCCAGAACAGAGUGUCAAUUUCUUUUAAUUUGCAUUAAAAAGAAAAAGAUAUGAUUUUAAAAUAUACUUGCUUGAGUCUGGACUGUUUCUAGAAGGAGAAACACCAAAUGGCUGCCCCUGGGGGAGAAAUAGUUGCCCCAGUCAGUUGGAUUGAAUACUUUCUUUUUCGGCUGCGGCGAGUCCUAGUCGCUCCCAGCGGGCCCUCUCUAGCCGCGUCUGGCUGUGGCAGGCGGGCCUGCCCGUCGUUGCGCUGUGCAGGCCGCUCGGCUCCAGGGGCACGCAUCAGCGGCAGGGGCCCAUGGGUGUAGUUGCUCCAUGGCGCGGGGGUCUGCCCCGACCAGGGGUUGUCCCUUGCGUUGCGAGGCAGAUUCCUUAACUGCUGGGCCACCAGGGAAGCCAUUAGAACUCACAUUCUUCGAGUAUGCUCCUUUUUAAAGGUUUGGCUUUUUAAGCAGUUUCAUGGAAAUACAAUUCACUUAUAGACUCAUCCAUUUAAAGUGUACGAUUCAGUGAGUUUUGCAGCAGGAUGUUCUUAAUUUUUAAUAAUUGUGGUAAAUGUAUAUGACAUAAAAGUUGCCAUUUUAACCAUUUUAAGUGGCAUCAACUACAUUCACAGUGCCGGGCAGCCGUCCCCACUGUCUACUUCUGAAACUCUUUCAGCCUCAAACAGAAACUCCAUAACUGUCCUAGUAUCGUGGUCUGUAGUAUUUGAUUUUUUUAAAUUGAAGUGUGGUUGAUUUGUAAUAUUAGUUCCAGGUAUGGACAUAGCGAUUCAGUAUUCUUACACAUCACACUCCUUUAAAGUUGUUACAGAAUAGCAAAUGUGUUUCUCUGUCCCUCGGCUGUUUUUCACAUAGUGAGUCUGCGUCUCAGUCCCCUGGCCCUAUCUCUCCCUCUCCCCUCCCUCCUCCCGUUGGUAGCCGCAGUGUGUUCUCCGCACCUGCGAGUCUGCUUCUGUUUUGUUAUAUACGUUUCUUAAUUUUUUAGACUCGACCUGUAAGUGAUAACGUAGCCUAGUUGCCUUUAUCUGUCUGAACCAUUUCACUAAGCGUAAUACUCUCUUGGUCCACACGCACUGUGGCAG
rnacentral:lncRNA from 1 species